rnacentral:piRNA from 1 species
UGACAUGUAGCCAGUGGAGGAAGAUGU